rnacentral:rRNA from 1 species
UGGGGAAUAUUGGACAAUGGGCGCAAGCCUGAUCCAGCAAUGCCGCGUGUGUGAAGAAGGCCUUCGGGUUGUAAAGCACUUUUAUCAGGAGCGAAACGCUGUCGGCUAAUACCCGGCGGAACUGACGGUACCUGAGGAAUAAGCACCGGCUAACUUCGUGCCAGCAGCCGCGGUAAUACGAAGGGUGCAAGCGUUAAUCGGAAUUACUGGGCGUAAAGCGUGCGUAGGCGGUUUCUUAAGUCUGCUGUGAAAUCCCCGGGCUCAACCUGGGAAUGGCAGUGGAUACUGGGAGGCUAGAGUGUGUCAGAGGGUGGUGGAAUUCCCGGUGUAGCGGUGAAAUGCGUAGAGAUCGGGAGGAACAUCAGUGGCGAAGGCGGCCACCUGGGACAACACUGACGCUGAGCACGAAAGCGUGGGGAGCAAACAGGAUUAGAUACCCUGGUAGUCCACGCCCUAAAGCGAUGCGAACUGGAUGUUGGUCUCAACUCGGAGAUCAGUGUCGAAGCUAACGCGUUAAGUUCGCCGCCUGGGGAGUACGGUCGCAAGACUGAAACUCAAAGGAAUUGACGGGGUCAU